AAAGUACUCCCUCUAGCAGGAAUUACUUGUCGCAGAAAUGAAUGUAUAUAGACGUAUUUUAGUUCUAGUCACAUCCAUUUUUAUCCAUUUUUACGACAUGUAAUUCGGGACGGAGGGAGUACUAC
rnacentral:pre_miRNA from 1 species